CUCAGGAUGAACGCUGGCGGCGUGCCUAAUACAUGCAAGUCGAGCGAACGGACGAGAAGCUUGCUUCUCUGAUGUUAGCGGCGGACGGGUGAGUAACACGUGGAUAACCUACCUAUAAGACUGGGAUAACUUCGGGAAACCGGAGCUAAUACCAGAUAAUAUUUUGAACCGCAUGGUUCAAAAGUGAAAGACGGUCUUGCUGUCACUUAUAGAUGGAUCCGCGCUGCAUUAGCUAGUUGGUAAGGUAACGGCUUACCAAGGCAACGAUGCAUAGCCGACCUGAGAGGGUGAUCGGCCACACUGGAACUGAGACACGGUCCAGACUCCUACGGGAGGCAGCAGUAGGGAAUCUUCCGCAAUGGGCGAAAGCCUGACGGAGCAACGCCGCGUGAGUGAUGAAGGUCUUCGGAUCGUAAAACUCUGUUAUUAGGGAAGAACAUAUGUGUAAGUAACUGUGCACAUCUUGACGGUACCUAAUCAGAAAGCCACGGCUAACUACGUGCCAGCAGCCGCGGUAAUACGUAGGUGGCAAGCGUUAUCCGGAAUUAUUGGGCGUAAAGCGCGCGUAGGCGGUUUUUYAAGUCUGAUGUGAAAGCCCACGGCUCAACCGUGGAGGGUCAUUGGAAACUGGAAAACUUGAGUGCAGAAGAGGAAAGUGGAAUUCCAUGUGUAGCGGUGAAAUGCGCAGAGAUAUGGAGGAACACCAGUGGCGAAGGCGACUUUCUGGUCUGUAACUGACGCUGAUGUGCGAAAGCGUGGGGAUCAAACAGGAUUAGAUACCCUGGUAGUCCACGCCGUAAACGAUGAGUGCUARGUGUUAGGGGGUUUCCGCCCCUUAGUGCUGCAGCUAACGCAUUAAGCACUCCGCCUGGGGAGUACGACCGCAAGGUUGAAACUCAAAGGAAUUGACGGGGACCCGCACAAGCGGUGGAGCAUGUGGUUUAAUUCGAAGCAACGCGAAGAACCUUACCAAAUCUUGACAUCCUUUGACAACUCUAGAGAUAGAGCCUUCCCCUUCGGGGGACAAAGUGACAGGUGGUGCAUGGUUGUCGUCAGCUCGUGUCGUGAGAUGUUGGGUUAAGUCCCGCAACGAGCGCAACCCUUAAGCUUAGUUGCCAUCAUUAAGUUGGGCACUCUAAGUUGACUGCCGGUGACAAACCGGAGGAAGGUGGGGAUGACGUCAAAUCAUCAUGCCCCUUAUGAUUUGGGCUACACACGUGCUACAAUGGACAAUACAAAGGGCAGCGAAACCGCGAGGUCAAGCAAAUCCCAUAAAGUUGUUCUCAGUUCGGAUUGUAGUCUGCAACUCGACUACAUGAAGCUGGAAUCGCUAGUAAUCGUAGAUCAGCAUUCUACGGUGAAUACGUUCCCGGGUCUUGUACACACCG
rnacentral:rRNA from 1 species